rnacentral:rRNA from 1 species
UACGUAGGUGGCUAGCGUUAUCCGGAAUUACUGGGCGUAAAGGGUGCGUAGGUGGUUUCUUAAGUCAGAGGUGAAAGGCUACGGCUCAACCGUAGUAAGCCUUUGAAACUGGGGAACUUGAGUGCAGGAGAGGAGAGUGGAAUCCCUAGUGUAGCGGUGAAAUGCGUAGAUAUUAGGAGGAACACCAGCUGCGAAGGCGGCUCUCUGGACUGUAACUGACACUGAGGCACGAAAGCGUGGGGAGCAAACAGG